UACAGAGGUCCCAAGCGUUGUUCGGAUUCACUGGGCGUAAAGGGUGCGUAGGCGGUCGAGUAAGUCUGACGUGAAAUCUCCGGGCCUAACCCGGAAACUGCGUUGGAAACUACUUGGCUAGAGGAAUGGAGGGGAGACUGGAAUACUUGGUGUAGCAGUGAAAUGCGUAGAUAUCAAGUGGAACACCAGUGGCGAAGGCGAGUCUCUGGACAUUUCCUGGCGCUGAGGCACGAAAGCCAGGGGAGCAAACGGG
rnacentral:rRNA from 1 species